CAAAAAGAGUUUGGGUAAAUUAUCAGAGAAUAAAAAAACACUACUAAUGCAACUCGAUCCAAGCAUUAAGGGAGACAGGCAAAGGAGGCAUCACGGUCUAAAACAAUGCGAUGAUACAUGUUAAUAAAAAAAAAUUACAAGUCGUUCAAUGUCUCCCAAUUUAGAUCCAUUAUUACGCAGUCUUGUGGAAAGGCGACACUGACGUAAAAAGUACUAGAGUGAAGUAUUAGUUUAUGAAUUUCCAAGUCCCAAGAAUAUCCUGAAUACACUGCAGUUGCUGCUCUUCUUAAAGACACUUCCUCGGAAUUUAACAGCUCAUUUAAUUUAUGAAAUGUUACCACAAUAUCCAAAGGGUUUCCACUUAAUCCGAUACCGAGUGCUUUCAAAAUCGCUUCUUUGCAAGUCCAGAGCAAAAAAAAAACAUCAAUACUAGAAAUUGAACUUUUAAUCAACUUCCAUUCGCAAGGAGUAAAUACACUCAUGAAAUCUUCCAUCCAUGAUGCUUCAAAAGCUAACGGUUUACAUUCGACGAUGUCAACUCCAAUAUUGAUCGGUCGCAUUCCUGAAGGAUCUGAUGGAAGCCAUGCUCCUACUACAAUUACGAUUCCCCCAUAGUGGGAUACAUUAAAGUCAAAUAUAAUAGGAGGACAGUGUGCUGAUUGGCAAUACGGUCUCCCGGCUUUUGUGACAGAAAUUUGUACUUCAUUUGGUGAACAUUCGAGAGCCGUGGAGACUAAGUGCCUUUUAAUAAGUAUAGAAGCCAAUGCCAUUUUAGCAUCCAUGUCGAAAUAGUACCUCUCAAUUUGUUGUCGCUCAGAAUCGCUCAGUUUUUUAAAACUGGGUAUCCUCUAACGU